AUGGCUCACUGCAGCCCCGAAUUCCCAGGCUCAAGCAGUCCUCCUACCUCAGCCUUUCAAGUAGCUGGAACUGCAGGUGUGUACCCUCAUGUCUGGCUAAUGUUUUUAUUUUUCCUAAAGAUAGGGUCUUUUUCCUUGCCUUUCCCUUUUUUCUACCCCUCCCCUCCCCUCCCUUUCCCUCCCCUCCCCUCCCUUCCCCUCCCCCUCCACCUCCUCCCCUUUCCCUUCCCCUUCUUCCUUCUCCCUUUCCCAUUCCUGCUUCCUUCCCCUUCCCCUUUCCCCUUCCCCAUUCCUCCUUUCCCAUCCUCAUUCCUCCUUCCCCAUUCCUCCUUUCCCUUUCCACUUCCUCCUUUCCCUUACCCCUUCCUCCUUUCCCAUCCCCAUUCUUUCUUCCCCAUUCCUCCUUCCCCAUUACUCUUUCCCCUUCCCCUUCUCCCUUCCCCAUUCCCCAUUCCUCCUUCCCCUUCCCCUCCCCUUUCCCCAUUCCUCCUUCCCCUUCCCCUCCCCUUUCCCCAUUCCUCCUUCCCCUUCCCCUCCCCUUUCCCCAUUCCUCCUUCCCCUUCCCUUUUGUUUCCCCUUUCUUCUUUCCAUUCCCCCUGUCUUCCCCCCUCCCUUCCCCUUUCCUCUUUCCCCUUCUCCUUUUCCCUUUCUCCUUCCCCUUCCCUUUUCUCCUUCCCCCUUUCUCCUUCUGCUUCCCCUUUCCCCUUUUCCUUCCCUUUCCCUUUUCCUCUUUCCCCUUUCCUUUUCCCCUUUCCCCUCCCCCUUCCUUUUUCUUCUUUCUCUUCUCCCUUCCCUCCCCCUUCUCCUUUCCCCUUCUCCCCUUCCCUUUUCUCCUCCUUUAUCCCCUUUUUCCUUCCCCUUCCCCUUCCUCUUUCCCCUUUCCCCUUUGCUCUUCCCUUUUCUCUUUCCCCUUUUCCCUUCCCCUUCCCUUUCCCUUUCUUUUCUUCUUCAGGAUCUCACUCUGCUACCCAGGAUGGCGUGCAGUGGCAAGCCUCAAUCUACUAG
rnacentral:lncRNA from 1 species